GUAAUCAUAUGCUUGUCUCAAAGAUUAAGCCAUGCAUGUCUAAGUUUAAGUAUUUAUUUCGAAACUGCGAACAGCUCAUUAGAACAGUUAAUACAGAAGGAAUGUGAAGAGGAGGAUAACUUUGGUAAUUCUAUAGCUAAUACUAAUUUAGAAAGCGUAUAUAGAAUAUGCUCGUAUAGAAAUAAUUCAUCCCCAUCUGGGAGUCUUUGAUUAAUUUCUUAUUCGUUAUCCUUAUUUGGAAAUUUUCUUUGGUUUCUGACCUAUCAGCUCUUGAUGGUAUGUUAAAAGCUUACCGUGGCAUUGACGGGUAACGGGGAAUUGGGGUUUGAUUCCGGAGAGGAAGCUUGAGAAUCGGCUACCACAUCUAAGGAAGGCAGCAGGCGCGCAAAUUAUCCAAUCCUUAAACAGGGAGAUAGUGACAAGAAAUAACAAUGCGUAAUUUUAUUUCGUAAUUGGAAUGAUUUUGGUUUAAAACCCCAAUUGAGUAACCAUUGGAGGGCCAGUCUGGUGCCAGCAGCCGCGGUAAUUCCAGCUCCAAUAGUGUAUAUUAAAGUUGCUGCGGUUAAAAAGCUCGUAGUUGAACAUUGUUGAUGUACUUAUUAAUCAUUGCGAUAAAUAACUUAUAUCAUUCACAAUUGUCUUGGCUGGGCGAAAUCAUUUGCCCAACCUUCAAUUAUCUUACUUUGAGGAAAUUAGAGUGUUUAAAACAUCAAUUACGUUGAGAUAUAUUUUAGCAUAGAAUAAAUUAAUUGCUCUACUAUUUGCUGUGAUGAAGGCGUACAGUAGCGAAUCAGAAAAGAAAUUAUUGGAGGUAUUUGUAUUCGACAGCUAGAGGUGAAAUUCUUUAAUUUGUCGAGGACAGACAAUGGCGAAAGCAUAUACCUAAUUAACUUUCAUUGAUCAAGAACGAAGGUUAGGAUAUCGAAGACGAUUAGAUACUGUCCUAGUCUUAACUUUAAACUAUGCCAUCUAGACUUUGGUCUUCAUGACUUCGUGAUAUUACCAGUGUCUUUAGAGAAAUUAAAAGUUUUUGGGUUCCGGGGGGAGUAUGAUCGCAAGAUUGAAACUUAAAGGUAUUGACGGAAGGGCACCACCAGGAGUGGAGCUUGCGGCUUAAUUUGACCCAACACGGGAAAGCUUACCAGGGCCAGACAUAAUAAGGAUUGACAGAAAAAUAGUUUUUUCUUGAUUAUAUGGGUGGUGGUGCAUGGCCGUUCUUAGUUGGUGAAUUGGUUUGUCUGGUUAAUUCCGUUAACGAACGAGAUUAUAACUUGCUCAAUAGACUUUAAUC
rnacentral:rRNA from 1 species